UGGUGUUCAGCAAAGUGGCGUGUUGAACAUAUAAUCGAAUAUCGACUUAAUUCGUGAUCUAUCUACAUUUACGUCGAUAUUUUGGUAGAAAUUAUCGUUUUACAAAAUCUUGCGAUCAAGAAAUUUACAUAGAACAUAGAAUUGCGGUAACAUUGACCGAGAAAACGAAGAAUCGAAGAUUGUCCUGAACGGAGGCAGAUUCUGCUCGAAGAUUCAAAUUUACAAGAAUCUUUGAUUGCAAGUAUGCAUGGACGAAGAGGAAAGCUGUGUUGGCGCCAAAGUGCAAUCAAUUCUCUCGAUCUUUGUGCAACAUAAUCAAUCAAUUAUCGUCAUUUGUGCAACAUAAUAAUGUUAUUAAUAUUUGCAUACUCAAAGACAAUGACGGUACGAUUAUGCUCGAAUGUUUAGUAAAAUCAUUUAUUUCGAAAUACUUUGGCUCGUUUCGAAACAUUGCGAUGUUCACAUAUAUAUUUAACAAUUAUUUAAAUACCUCUAAAUAUAAAUAUAUUUCUCUCGGAGUUUAUUGUCGCUAUAAACUCCGAGUUGAGAGCUUCUUAGUUCCAUCGCGUUUGUUUCGAGCAUUUCAAAUUACGAGGGUGAAAAAAGGACGAAAUUAAGCUACGUGCUCGGAAUUUAUUUUCCAUUUCUCCGAAUGCCUUUUCAUUUCCUGAAACUUGAAGCACGUUAAUUUUGUUUGCACGCGAAAUUGCGGUCGUGCACUUUUGGCGUUUCUUGCAUAGUAAAGUACUUUUUUUCUUCUAGAGCACUCCGUGAGCUCUAACUAUAAUUGUUCAAGUACACGCGAAGUUAGAGUUAGUAUUGUUACGCAUUUAAAAUUCAUUCGGAGCCACGACGCUCUCAUUGUUUUAUAAAUGCGGAAGUGGAGUUGAAUUUGCCACUGUUAUGGAACUUUCAGUCGAGAUGGUAAACUUUUUUCACCUUUGUGUUUUUUUUUUCUAUAACAAAGUACACGCAAAUUGGCGAUGCCAACGAUUGUUGUUAGAUCCUACGAUAGAAAAUCGUACGUAAUAUUUGAUUGUCGACUAAUUUAACCUUUAUAAUUCUAUUGACAAUAACGUAUUUAUUGUAUACGACCCUAACCUCUAUGGCGGUUAGAAACGUCGCCAUGUUUGAGUUAAUAGUUCUUUGUUUCCUUUAUUUAAAGUGUAAUUUUCUUUAUCAUUCGUUAACACCUAGAUGUAAAGUCCAACGAGUUUCAAACCAGGACUGAGAAUUUUAUUUCAAGAGAUGUACCAGAUAUAACAUAGCAAUUUAUCAAAAGUCUAAUCUAUCAGAGUUACUGAAGAAGAAAAGUGUUACAAGAAUAGUAAUACUUUACUUCCUUCUUAGAAGUUCAAUUUUCUUUACUUGUCACUUACAAGUAGGAUUAAAAUCUGACAGCGUUUAAAUUAGGAUUUAUAACUUUAUUCAAAGUAAUGUACGAGAUUCGAUAUCUCAGUUUUUCUCUGAACUGUGAUUUUUCUUCUUACAAAGCCCAAUUUUCUUUAUUUUUCGUUUGUAACUGGAAUUAAAAUCACAGGUCAAGUUACAAUGUAUGACACAAAAGUUAUAACAUUUUUAAUGAUGAUUCAGAACUUUCUUCGACCAACAUGCAUAUACUGGUAACGCAAUUUUGUUGAAUAUUGUUUACUUAGAUAUAUAAAAUGUAGUUCCAUUUCAUCAGCUUCACACAAUCCAGAAUGUUCUUUAUCGCUCACUUAGACAAAUUUAAAUUAGUAUUACAAUUUUAUUUAUCUACCACAAUUUUAUUCAAACCUGCAACUCCCAACGUUCCAGUUAUACAAAACAUUGAUGUCCCCGCGAGACGUAGCUCGAUGAAUCAAACAUUUUCCAUUUCCAUUUCCAAAGACGUAAUUUCCUUAGCGACAGCGUUGAUUCUUUCCACCCGGUCGCAAACAGAUUCGUCCUUGGCCGAAGGGUACUCGAGCUGUGUAUCAACGAUACGAUAACGUGCUGCGUGUCGUUGAGCAUCGUGCUCGUGAUACAUGGGUUCCGUGAAACUCGGUCGACCCAGAGGCCAAACACAGAGAACGUUGGUCGGAUUUUACUCGCCGCGAAGGGCCGAUCGUGAGUGUCGUUCGUAAUUAACGUGGAUGCGUAGCGAACGUGUGCUUCAGCCGGGUCGCAGGACCCUGAAUCUAGUCGCUUUGUAAAAUGUUCCUCUGCCGCGUGUGGAAUGACGUCACGCGUUCAUUUUCCUUCCAUCCAUCGUGCUGUCGACCCGAUACGCCGCUCGCACGCUAUUUCCUCUCGAAACGCUCGACGAUUUCAACAUUUUCACCGCACGUUCACUCGCCCUACCCCACCGCUAUCUUUUUGUUUUUCCAUCGGGAGCGUGACUGCCAAUACCCGAAAAAUAUCCGAAUGGUGUGGACGAAAUUUGAACAUCUGUUAUUCGAACAGUAACAUUAUACACUCGGAUGUGGGGAUUUUGAAAUUUUUGCCACAUCUUUUGGGCACGUGUUUUAUGAAAUCUCGAAUUUUCCAAAUUUCCAUGCUUUUUUGAGAUUUAAAGUUCCUCCAAAAAUGUUCGUUUCGUUAUUAAAUGAUCCCGGGCUCGUAUUUUUUAUUAACCGACUGGUUUCGCCCAUCUGGGUUAAGCAAAGACAAGUUCAAGUACACGAAAAUGUAAACAUGACCCAUUUGGAUAGAAGUGAAAGGGCGAGGUUCAAUCGCUGUUCCACGACCUAACUUCGAAUUAAAGUUUCUCGCGAUUUCAAAAUAAAAUAAAAUUUCUCCUAAAAUAAAAUUUCACAUUUCGUAUAAAAAUCCAAAAAUGAACACAACAGAAUUUUUGGGGAAUAUUUAAAUUAUACACGAUCCAAGUAGCAUUCGAUAUAUAGUUCAUGACGCCUGAAUAAUUGAUUUUCUAAUGGCUUCGAUAGUGUAACUGGAAGCCCGAGGGUAACAAAACGGCAGACAGGUGAUCAAAAUUCCCCAUAGCGAGCCAUUAAAGUUUAUACGAGAUCGUGUGACUUUCAUAGCGCGAUCCAUAACGGUCUUCAACAGCCAUUAACCCGUUUCUUGAGCGCGAAAUGCAUCGACGAACAUUACCCGUCCAGAACCAAUCAUUAUCCUAGCUCGAUACCCCGCCGAAGACGGAUUCGCGCGCGCACUCGGCGUCGUUCCUGCAAUUUGACUACGUUUCAUAAUAAAUUAAAACCCUCCUUCGUCGGCAAAUAACGUCCAGCUGCGGUGCCGUAAUUUUUGCCACAAGUAAGAAAUCAAUACUCUGAUACGGUCAUAAAUCCACAAGAUGGCGUCAGAACGCGCGUAUCGUGUUUGAUCUUUCGCGGCGAGGCGAGCGCGUGCAACGAGCUCGAUGUGCACGCGGAUGAUAAAUCUUAUCUCGCGACGGAGGUUCGGUUUGGUCAACGAGCAAGCCUCGAUUCGCGUCUCGAUCGAGAAAUGGGACGCAAAGGUAAGAGAAAAACGAAAUUGUAUAGAUGGCAGUGUGAGAGUUUCGUCCGAUGGGGGGCGUGGGGUAAAGAAAACGUCGUCUGGCUCCGCCUAUUUUGGCCAUAGCUCCGCCCGGUGAUACGCAUUUAUGCGUAUCGAACGAAGUAAUUCUAAUAGAAGUCAAAGAUCGACUUAGAAUAGUUCCACUCACCUAGGGCAGAUCGUUGGAGCUCCGUAUUACAGGCACGCGAAGUUAGAGGAGUAGGUGCAGGCAAUAAACAGUGACACGGUUUAAUAAUACACAAAUUUUAUUUUAUUCAUUUUUUUUCUUCCCGCAGAAUCGAGGAAAUCAUUUGUUGAGAGAACAAAACCUCUGCAAUAUGAAUAGCAGUUACAAGUAAAUAUGUACAAUAAUAUAUAAGUGGUUGCCUUUCAUUUUUUUUUGUUGCCAUUAUCAACUGUUUUCUGUUGUUUGUCUGGUAUAUUCCUACUUCUCGCACUGUUAAUGAUAAUCGAUAAUGAUAAUCAAUUAAUUAAUUAAUUAAUAAUAAUGAUAAUAAUUAUAAGAAUCGCACUGAACCGUAUUAAGAAUAUUUCCAUACGUCCACCUGGUAAUGGAGGUACAAUCGUAGGCAUACCAAUCGACCAUCGAAUCAUGACAAUUAUUGACAAAUUGAUAGAACGGUCCUUUUUAUUCUGCUUCGCAUUCCAUUUCGCCCACCCUUUGCAUCACUCCCGCCAACACCCUCUUCUUCUCCCUAAUACAUGCAUUUCCGAUUUCCCGUUGCUGUUUACCGUCCCCUAUUGCUAUUUAAUUAAACCCCUCCCCCUUGUCUCGUGUGUAUCGUUCCCGCACACGAUAUUUAGGCGUGCACUUCGCGACACGCACCUAACCUAACUUCUCCCUCGCAUUUGUUCCUCCAUUUUCUCUCACACUCUUCAAAUAUUUAGAACGCGUCGUAUUUUCACUCGUACCUUCGAUUUCAGCCCUUCCCAAAAAACAAAAACCUUCGAGUCUUACUUCGCAUAACCCCUCCCCUUCCCGUCUACGCCUCUUAUCGUAAAAUUUUUCUUUUUCCGUCGAAAAUCAUCGAAAGACUGCGUCGAUACUCGACGAGCACGAAACUGGCUCGCGCAGUCGUUUUAUUACACCUCCUCGUUCAUUGUAACCUCCCCCUUCGUUCUUUGUUCGCCACGUUUAUUAUUUCAUCGGCUCGCUUCCUAAGAUUAAGUCCACUAAGCGUUCCCUACCGUUGAUUAAAUGCUCAUUGCGACAAGAGAGCUCAACGUGGCUCCUCCCUUGUGAUCAUUGCUAUAGGCCAGGAGCGCGAGUGGGCUGUCCAUAGCGCGCGUGGGGGGAAACCACGCCUUUCAGGGGCGGGUGGCUCCGCCCAUUAUCGAAUACUGGGUUGGACAAACAGUGGUAUAAUUGCGUUUCGCAAUACCGAUUGCCUGCUGCUAUUUGGUAUUGGUUUCGGUUCGAAUUUUUUCCGACCUUUCGAUGACCAAGGUCAUCUUCGACCCUCCUUGCAUAAAUUUUGCUUUUUCUUCCGAAAAGAGUAUUUACAUAGUCACGAAUGAAUUAGCGUUCGAACGACAAAUCGGAUACGAAAUACCGGAUCCUCCUAAAUUUUCUCGGUGAACUAUACAAUGAUUUUUCAUUCUUCCGAAUCAGAUCUAUCAUGCAACGAAGAGUUGACGUGAUACCUGUUGAAGUGUUACGUCAGGUCUGAUAUGGUUUUGGGACACGCCCACUCAGGACAGACCGCUCAAGCUCCAACCUAUAUCGCUCUCAGUGUUCCCAUCGCUAUUUUACAUAUACGCCACUUACUCAUCCAGUCUAAUCCUCCUUGCACCGUAUCGCGAAAACUCUCGUUGAUCGUGGGCCAUCCCCCGCCCUCCCUCCCUCCCUCCCACCCCCCUUCCCUUAUCAUCCGACUUCCGCGUUCUCAUCCCCUCGCCAACACUUCUCGAGCAUUUCCUGCGGUACCAACCCCUUCUAACUCGCUUCUCUAACUCCCCUCGAGGAUCGUCCUUGCAGGCCGCGCGUCUCGCCUCCUUUUCUGCCUCCUCUAUUCGCUACCCUCGCCAGACCAAGACCAGAGGGACUCUCCGUGACAGCUUUACGUGGCUCAACAACGACCGAGAAAAGGACCGCACUUUUCGUCUGAAGGAGUAUCGCCACGUGGCAAUUGCGCGAUUGCAAUGUCGGCACCCGUGAAACCUUUCUCUGGAGAUUUAAUCUACCCUCUCUCACGUUCUCCUCCCCUCCCUGCUACGCUGUUCUCGUCUUUCAUCUGCUGUUCUGCUCUCUGAUUCUCGUUCUUAUCUCGUCUCUGGCUGCUCUUCCUCGCUAGCCCUUCCCUGUCAUGCUCUAGUUCUCGUCUCCCCGGCAUCUCUUGCUCUCGUGGCUCAUCUCUUGGUCUCGUUUUUGUUAGGCGGUAGUUUUACACUCACUGCUAUUUCGUCUCUCUACUGGCCAGUUUUAGAUCAUCUACCAGGUUCGUCACUGGUUCCCAUUUCUGUCUCAUGGCUGUCUCUACCCCUACCUUCGUUUUAUCUUAGCUCGAUCUCACCCCUCGUUCUUCCGUUCCUCUUUUUUAGCCACCUCUAUUCCGUCUCUAAUCCUAUAUCACAUUCUCUGUACCCUCUCCUCUAGUUCCCCUUUGUACCUUACUUCUUCUGCGCGGCCAGUUGUCGUUCCCCAGGUUGGUCAAGGCGUCUCAAGGUGUCGAGUCGAGGAGGACUCGACGACCGCGUUACUCGGUGAAAAAAUGGCCGAGUCGCGUUGCUCUCUCGGACGAUCCUCGAGUCUUCGCCACCUCAUCGUUGAACCCUGUUCUCUCUCGUCUCUACGCCCCGUCUCUCGCGAAAUGUCUUCGUUUAUAUUUCGGUUUUUCUUUCUUUUUUCUUUCUUUUUUGUUUGUUUGUUUGUUUGUUUACAAUUGGUUCCUGAAACGAAAAGCCCACCUCGCAAUAAUUAACGCGCGACCCCACCCCUCGUUAACAGGUUCCGUCGACGCUUUGUCACGAUCGUCCCGGUACGUUCUUCUUCUUCUUCGUCUCCUCCUUCGUCAUCGUCAUACAUCUUAUUCUUCUUUUUGUUAUCUGUGUCGUUAAAUAGUAAUCAUCUAAACAAUGAAAGCGGCAAAACGUCUCGAGGAAAAAGGUGUCCCUGAGCGCGACGGAAGGGGACGACGACGACGCGACGCUUCUUUGGGAGAGGUUUUCGCGAAACAGAAGAGACAAAAAAAAAAAAAAAACGAGAGAAACAAGAUA